rnacentral:lncRNA from 1 species
CUCGAUCUGACUGAAGAGUUUUAAUACUCUUUUCAGUUUAUUUUUCUACCUCAUUAUGAAAUCAUUUGAAUAUUUCAAAUAAUUCAGAUUUAUGACACUCAUAAUCAUAGGUCCAAUACAUCAGUAUGUAUGAGACUGAGAACAUCAUUGGCUUAUUCACCUUUUUCAGUAAAAGAUGACUUGAUCAUCUUUUCAAGGAGAUAAGACUCACAGGUCGACAAUGAUUCAUAAUCAUUGACUUCGAGGAUUUUCUCUUUACUUAACCUAUUUGUCCUAUUCU